AGAGCGAACGCUGGCGGCAGGCCUAACACAUGCAAGUCGAGCGGCCGUAGUAAUACGGCAGCGGCAGACGGGAUAGUAACACGUGGGAACGCGCCCUUCGGUUCGGAAUAACUCAGGGAAACUUGAGCUAAUACCGGAUACGCCCUUACGGGGAAAGAUUUAUUGCCGAAGGAACGGCCCGCGUCCGAUUAGCUAGUUGGUGAGGUAAUGGCUCACCAAGGCUACGAUCGGUAGCUGGUCUGAGAGGAUGACCAGCCACAUUGGGACUGAGACACGGCCCAAACUCCUACGGGAGGCAGCAGUGGGGAAUAUUGGACAAUGGGCGCAAGCCUGAUCCAGCCAUGCCGCGUGAGUGAUGAAGGCCCUAGGGUUGUAAAGCUCUUUUGUGCGGGAAGAUAAUGACGGUACCGCAAGAAUAAGCCCCGGCUAACUUCGUGCCAGCAGCCGC
rnacentral:rRNA from 1 species